rnacentral:rRNA from 1 species
CCUACGGGAGGCAGCAGUAGGGAAUCCUACGGGAGGCAGCAGUGGGGAAUAUUGCGCAAUGGGGGAAACCCUGACGCAGCAACGCCGCGUGGGUGAUGAAGGUUUUCGGAUCGUAAAGCCCUGUUUUCUGGGACGAUAAUGACGGUACCUUAUGAGGAAGCCACGGCUAACUACGUGCCAGCAGCCGCGGUAAUA